rnacentral:rRNA from 1 species
UACGAAGGGUGCAAACGUUGUUCGGAAUCAUUGGGCGUAAAGCGCACGUAGGCGGCUUCGCAAGUCGGAUGUGAAAUACCUAGGCUCAACCAAGGACGUGCAUCCGAAACUGCGAGGCUUGAGUACAGAAGAGGAUCGCGGAAUUCCCGGUGUAGAGGUGAAAUUCGUAGAUAUCGGGAGGAACACCAGUGGCGAAGGCGGCGAUCUGGGCUGAUACUGACGCUGAGGUGCGAAAGCGUGGGGAGCAAACAGG